UACGUAGGGUGCAAGCGUUACUCGGAAUUACUGGGCGUAAAGCGUGCGCAGGCGGUUGUGCAAGACCGAUGUGAAAUCCCCGGGCUUAACCUGGGAAUGGCAUUGGUGACUGUACGGCUAGAGUGUGUCAGAGGGGGGUAGAAUUCCACGUGUAGCAGUGAAAUGCGUAGAGAUGUGGAGGAACACCGAUGGCGAAGGCAGCCCCCUGGGUCAAGAUUGACGCUCAUGCACGAAAGCGUGGGGAGCAAACAGG
rnacentral:rRNA from 1 species